rnacentral:lncRNA from 1 species
CCUGAUCCCUGGGUCUGGGUGUUUCAUCCCCCUUUACCUCAUUACCAGUUCCUUCAAUCCGAGCCAGGCCAUCCCUGAAUCCCUGCCCUGACUCCCUGCACACACACCCCGUUUCUCCUGGCCCUGUCCUUGCUCCUUCUUUUGUCUCCAGGUGUGCCCUGAGAUACCAAGUAUGGUAUCAGGUGACAGCAAUGGACCCACAUUCUCUUUUGGAACAUCUCUCUUGGAGAAAGUUGCAAGUGAAUUUUCCCACGCUGUGCUCUUAAGAGGCCUCUGUCCUCAGUGUGGCUCUGUACAGAGUUGACAUCUGAAUCCCAAUUGGUCCAGCUCCGAAGACUGACUUGACUUCCAGGGCCUGCACAGGGAGCACUGAGAUUUUGUCCCCUCCUGGACUUUAUAGUACACAUGGGCACACAUAUCCCAAAGUGUGCCUGUGGAAGGCAGAGGAUAAAUCUGUAGCAUCAGUUCCUUCCUUCAGCCGUAUGAGUUUCAGGAAUCCACCUCAGACCACCAGACUCACUUCUAAGUGCAAUGCUUUCUGUGACCAGUGUCCUCCCUCUGAAUGCCUGGAAGGACCACCAUGCUUGCAGAUACAGCUCCUACAGUGUG